rnacentral:lncRNA from 1 species
CGAGGAAGGUAUCAAAAUUUUUAAAUAAAAAUUGUAAUACCCAAUUUUUGACCCGGGCCCAACUAAGCCUAAAGCUCAAACCCAUUACAAGCCCAAGUCACUAACCCAAAUCCCAGCCUAACCCUAAGCAGUGGCUAACAGCAGAUUGGCGCCGCAACAACUGCCCACGCCGUAGCAACCGUUCUACUGCCCACGUUGUGCUUGCACGACACACCUCCUUCACGUU